GACGAACGCUGGCGGCGUGCCUAAUACAUGCAAGUUGAGCGCUGAAGGUUGGUACUUGUACCAACUGGAUGAGCAGCGAACGGGUGAGUAACGCGUGGGGAAUCUGCCUUUGAGCGGGGGACAACAUUUGGAAACGAAUGCUAAUACCGCAUAAAAACUUUAAACACAAGUUUUAAGUUUGAAAGAUGCAAUUGCAUCACUCAAAGAUGAUCCCGCGUUGUAUUAGCUAGUUGGUGAGGUAAAGGCUCACCAAGGCGAUGAUACAUAGCCGACCUGAGAGGGUGAUCGGCCACAUUGGGACUGAGACACGGCCCAAACUCCUACGGGAGGCAGCAGUAGGGAAUCCUCGGCAAUGGACGAAAGUCUGACCGAGCAACGCCGCGUGAGUGAAGAAGGUUUUCGGAUCGUAAAACUCUGUUGGUAGAGAAGAACGUUGGUGAGAGUGGAAAGCUCAUCAAGUGACGGUAACUACCCAGAAAGGGACGGCUAACUACGUG
rnacentral:rRNA from 1 species